rnacentral:lncRNA from 1 species
CUUGCACCGCAUACACCGCAUGAGCUCUUCUAUUGGUCUUUCUUAUAGAAAAGCAUGCCACCAUUAUGGCAUGCACUAUCUUUUCAUAUCCCAUGUCCAACUCUUUCAUCAUUUUCUUCGAAUCAUAUAAGCUCCCAACAAGCUGCUCACCCUUCGGUAGCAUUUUCUUUAUUAUUGCUACCAUCCUAUUAUAACAAUUGACCGUCACAUUAAAUUUGACUUUUAAGUCCAACAACUCUGACAC